rnacentral:rRNA from 1 species
CCUACGGGAGGCAGCAGUGAGGAAUAUUGGUCAAUGGGCGUAAGCCUGAACCAGCCAAGCAGCGUGCAGGAUGACGGCCCUAUGGGUUGUAAACUGCUUUUAUGCGGGGAUAAAGUGAGGGACGUGUCCCUCAUUGCAGGUACCGCAUGAAUAAGGACCGGCUAAUUCCGUGCCAGCAGCCGCGGUAAUACGGAAGGUCCGGGCGUUAUCCGGAUUUAUUGGGUUUAAAGGGAGCGUAGGCCGUGGAUUAAGCGUGUUGUGAAAUGUAGACGCUCAACGUCUGACUUGCAGCGCGAACUGGUCCACUUGAGUGUGCACAACGAAGGCGGAAUUCGUCGUGUAGCGGUGAAAUGCUUAGAUAUGACGAAGAACCCCGAUUGCGAAGGCAGCUUGCGGGAGCACGACUGACGCUGAAGCUCGAAAGUGCGGGUAUCGAACAGGAUUAGAUACCCUUGUAGUC